UUUGGACUCCAGAGACACGCGGCCUCCUGCCGAGAGAGUGCUCCCCAAUCCGGUGCCAGAGGCCGCAGAGCUCAGAUGGCACCCGGCCUGCUCCUCCCGGCCCGGCCCCUUCGCUUCUAUGGCUUUGUGGAGGGAGCGCGCCACCUGCUUUUGCAUAGGCCACGCAGGACGCGAGGAUCCGCUUCUCCCGAAGCCAGCCAGCCGUCCCUCCUCGGCGCACCCCACCCGCCCGGGCCAGACAGUCGCGGAGCACGGAGCUGCGUCCGCCCUCCCUGCACACCGGCCCGCCGUCGGGUCUGCCCCUCUCCCCUCCUGCCUUCCCGCCCACUCUCCGCCCCUCUCAGCCCACAGUCACCCUGUCACAGUCCCCAGCGGCACCGCGCUGGGCAGCGCCCCGGCGCCGCCACGCCCUCCGCGUCAGGCUGGGCUCGUGACCUCGCCGUGACUGCCAUCGGUUUUCUGUGCCCGCCGCGGCGUCUGCCUGUCCCGCCUCCCUCCUUCCCGUCCUCCAAAGGCCGCCUUGGCACUGCGUGCCGGGACCCUCUGCUCUGCACCCCAGGCCGAGCUCCGAGGCUGGGUCUCUGCCCACGCUGCCGCCUGGCGGCCCUGUCGGGAAUCCGGCCUCGCUGCCCAGCUGCCUUCCCGGCCCCGCCGUCCCCUCCGCCCUCGGCCCAUUGCCCACAGCGCCUCUCCUCUGUCCUCCUCCGCAGGCCCCGUCCCACCCACACCAGCGCCAGGCCCGAGCCAGCUGCCCUCCCGCCUCGCGGUGCUCGUCCUCACGGGGUGGCAGGGAGGCCACCACGCCUCCCGCCUGCACACUGUGACGUCCCUUCCCGCAGAGCGGCCCGUGGCGCCCGCCUGCAGUGCGCACGGACCCGGCCUGUCCCUGUCCCAGCCCCCGCGGCUCCCUGGGGCCCUUGGAGUGAGCUGCUCACGCUCGGUCCAGGCUCCUUCCCAGGCUCUCGCAUGCUGCUCCCCCUCCCUGCACUCUCCUCCUCCUCAUCCUUCAUCCCUCGGCCUUGCCUGGCUUUAAGGCCACUUCCUCCAGGCAGCCUUCCUGGUUCAUCCUCAAAACCAAUCAGACCACACACAGCAGCUUCUGGCUCCCUGAGGAGGGCCGGGAAGCCGCACCUGUGUGACAGAAACGUCCUUUCCCGGCCUCCUCUGUUAUUGGUUAGCAGAGAUGACGUUAAGGUAGCAGCUGCAGUUUGGAAGUUGGGCGCUUGGAGGAAGCGACAGAGCUGGAGGGUGACACCGCCUGUUUGAUCUGACUCUGCCUAAGCGUGAAUCUCGUCCCCAGAGUUCGGCAGAUCCUGGGGAGUGGACGCACCAGGGUGGACGAGCAGAUGUGCAGGCGAAGCCCCUUGCAAACCGGACUUCCGGGUUUCCCGCUGUUCACCUCCAGUGUUUUGUGUGUUUGUUUGUUCGCUGGCGCUAGCGACCCAACCUAGGGUCUUAUCUGUGAUGAGCACAUUCUCUUCCACUGAGCCACAUCCUGGCCCCGACAGCAUUGCAAAUUUCUACACAAUCAGGUUCAAGCCAGGAGACAGAAGGGAGACGCUGGCCUGAAAUACCAAGCCUUGUUUGUGACCCCGUGGACCCCCUCCCCCAAUGGCAAGGCCCAGCAGCGGACACCGGAGUCAGCUCGCCAUCUAGUGCAGUCUUGCAAAUGAGUUUAUUCCCAUUUCGAAGGGGAGGAAACCAGCUUGGAGGGACGGUGUGCGUGUGGGAAGGGAGAGCUGAAUCCAGCACGGAUCCAGUUCCACUCCGGUGCAGAGCCCGGGUUCACUGCCGCCAACGCGCUGCUGUCUUGGGGACUCUGAGCGCUUCUGGAGGAUUAAGAACGAGAAAGUGUGACGGGUGAGGGCUCUGGGAACACUUGGACCUUCUGUCGCCCACA